rnacentral:rRNA from 1 species
GUACACGUGUGACUAGCAUAUCAAUAAGCGGAGGAAAAGAAACUAACAAGGAUUCCCCUAGUAACGGCGAGUGAAGCGGGAAGAGCUCAAAUUUGAAAUCUUAAAGGGUUUCCCUUUACGAAUUGUAGUUUAAAGAAGUGUUUUCUGUUGAGGUUUUGGUAAAAGUUCUUUGGAAUAGGACAUCAUAGAGGGUGAGAAUCCCGUAUUUGACCUUUACUUUCAACUUUGUGAUACACUUUCAAAGAGUCGGAUUGUUUGGGAAUGCAGUCCAAAAUGGGUGGUAAAUUUCAUCUAAAGCUAAAUAUUGGCGAGAGACCGAUAGCGAACAAGUACCGUGAGGGAAAGAUGAAAAGAACUUUGAGAAGAGAGUUAAACAGUACGUGAAAUUGUCAAAAGGGAAGCGUUUGACACCAGUGUUGUUUUUCUGAAAAUCAAUUAAAGAACUGUUUAUGCUAAGCUGUUUAGACUUUAUCAGCUAUCUGUUUAGUUUUGAGCUUUUCUUUAAUGCACUUUUCAGUUAACAAGUCAACAUCAAUUUCUUUUGCUGUAGAAAAGCUUGAGGAAGGUGGCUUGAGAUUCGUCUUAAGUGUUUAUAGCCUCUUGCCUAUGCAGUCGGAGAGAUUGAGGUCUGCAGCGUAGAUCCUUCGGGGCUAAAUGCAUUUGUGCUAAGUUAUAGCAUUUUAUAGACAACUUGUUGACUAUGAUUUGUCUUGUAGCUUACUCGCUUAUGUUAUUUUACCUACGCUUAGGAUGUUGACGCGCGUGUGUGCGUG